rnacentral:rRNA from 1 species
GUACGCUGGCGGCACGCCUAACACAUGCAAGUCGAACGCAGUAGCAAUACUGAGUGGCAAACGGGUGAGUAUAAUGUGGGAAUCUGCCUUUUGGUUUGGAAUAACACGGGGAAACUUGUGCUAAUACCGAAUAAGCCCUUACGGGGAAAGUUUUAACGCCGAAAGAUGAGCCCGCACUUGAUUAGCUAGUUGGUAAGGUAAAAGCUUACCAAGGCAACGAUCAAUAGCUGUUCUUAGAGGAAGACCAGCCACAUUGGGACUGAGACACGGCCCAGACUCCUACGGGAGGCAGCAGUGGGGAAUCUUGCACAAUGGGGGAAACCCUGAUGCAGCGAUGCCGCGUGAGUGAAGAAGGCCCUUGGGUUGUAAAACUCUUUCGUCGGGGAAGAAAAUGACUGUACCCGAAUAAGAAGGUCCGGCUA